AUACAAGUUUAGCAUAUCACAAACAAAAUUCUGGAAGUGUGCCAGAAUUUUGUUUGUGAUAAGAUAAAUUUGCAA